UUUUUAAAUUUGAAAUUUUUAAUAACCAUCCAAGAAAAUGAUCAAUGUUACCUUGGAUUACGGUCCAUAGAAAAUGAAAGUACCAAGAACAAUGUAUAUAUUAAUAGAAUCGUUAAACUAAGUCCUAAAGUUAAAAUAAAACUUGAAACCAGUCGAUUUUUUCCCUAUUUGAGCUCUUUCCCGAUUUUAUCAACCCUAAAUGCAGCAUGGGGCUAACAAAAUUGGGACAUUACUGUAUACAAAAUUGAGUGUAAUAAUUAUAAACAGCUUCAUACAAAAGUAUUUUUUUUUCAACUUAUGUUUAGCUGUUGGUGAUGUUAGAAGAAAUUUGCCGAAUAUUUGAAAAAUAGUUUUUGAAAUGUCCACGUAGACAUUUAGGGAAGGGUCUAAAGCGAGGUUGUUGUGUUCACGGUUCCAAAGGUUUUAAUAAUUUUGAAAAAUCUCAAUGAUUCUUUUUCACAACUUAGAGGAUGACAUAAAUUUAAUCGAAUGCAUAACCUAACCUAAAAUUCUCUUUUGCAAGAUGUUCUUCUAAAGUUUGAAUUGUUUUAAAAUAUAUAGGAUGGGGACGUUUGAUCCAUCAACUAAUAAACAGAUAUUUUAUUUGAUAUGCAAUAGUAAUUCUUUUGGAAACACCUUAUUUCUUAAAAUUGUGAUAUCGCUGGUGAAACAAUGUGUUAAAUAUAAUUUAUUCACUUAGCUUCAUUAAACAGCAAAAAAAAGUUAGAUUAAGUCUUUCCAAUUUCAUAGAGCAUUAUUUUGUAGCACUUCUAGAACUUGAAAUUUGAAAAAAUAUGGAUAAGUACGUAUUUGUGUGUGCAAAAAAUUGUACAAAAUUUAAAAAAAAUCGUUUUUUUUAUACCGCCUACUUUAUUUACGUUGCAGCAAUGGUUUGACCAUGAAAACACGAAAUUCGAUGAAAAAAAAAUGCAAAGUUUAGCAUAUUUUUAAAGAAAUCUGUUAAACGUGAGCGGAAAUAGUAACAGUUAGAUGCAGAAAGAAAUGCAAUUAAAUAAUUUUAAUGAAUGUUUUUCAAAUUCACUAAAAAGAAUACAAAUUGACUCAAUAGCUAUUUUUGAAUAACCCUUUGAACACAUACUUGUCUUAAAUGAGCGGAAUAUGGUGCAAUGAAGGUAAAUCUAAGUCGAAAAUUUUGCCCACCUCAGAAACACUUGAGAAUUUAUUUUUGCAAAGCAUUACACAGGGGUGAAACACUAUAGCCAUAACUGGUACACUUUCACUAAUUAAUGAUAAUUUUCUUCGAUCUUUGAUUUUGUGUUUUUGUGGAUUCAUGGGUAACACUAUGCUUCGACUGAGGACAUGCCCUAUCCGUUCCAUCCUUGUGUCUCGUAUUUCUCAAGCAUCUCUUCAGAAAAUAUUCGAUUGGAAACUGAUUAGAAAAAUAAAGAAUUCCUCCCGUUCUUGAAGGUAUUCUUCAACUUCCUCCGUUCUGAAAGCGUUUUAUCAUGUAUACGUACAACUUUUCUUCCCGAAAUAAUAGACACAGACAAACGGGAAAUAUAAACUUUGCUCUGCGUGAACCACGAUGGAAAGCGAAAAGUCAGUUGACGUGUGGUUCUGCGGUGGAAUAUUCCGAAAAGUUACUCGUUAUGAGAAAUUUGCCACUGUUGAAUUUUGUUGUCACUUUGUAACGAGAAAAACUUUUAACAAUAUAAAAAACGGGGCGCUGAAGUGUGGGAGAAAAAUUGAAUUUUUCUUUUCUGGACACUUGUUUCGUUUGUCUGACAUUCGCUAAAUAUGGUUAGGCAGUAAUACGUGUCGACGGUCGGUAGUGACCAUGGAAUACUUGGUGAACGUGAUUCGAUAUCCGUCAAACAAUCUAAAAGAGCUCAAUAAAAUUGUUGGUUUAGUUGUAUGUCGGUUGGUGUUUUUUUCGAGCAUGUACUGUACUUUUAACAGUAACAAA